UACGGAGGGAGCUAGCGUUGUUCGGAAUUACUGGGCGUAAAGCGCGCGUAGGCGGCUUUGUAAGUUAGAGGUGAAAGCCCGGAGCUCAACUCCGGAACUGCCUUUAAAACUGCAUCGCUUGAAUCCAGGAGAGGUGAGUGGAAUUCCGAGUGUAGAGGUGAAAUUCGUAGAUAUUCGGAAGAACACCAGUGGCGAAGGCGGCUACCUGGACCGGUUCUGACGCUGAGGCGCGAAAGCGUGGGGAGCAAACAGG
rnacentral:rRNA from 1 species